rnacentral:rRNA from 1 species
GUUUACGGCUAUACCACCCUGAACACGCCGAUCUCUUCUGAUCUCAGAAGCUAAGCAGGGUCUGGCCUGGUUAGUGCUUGGAUUGGAGACCACCUAGGAAGCCUAGGUGCUGUAGGCG